rnacentral:rRNA from 1 species
CUAAUUCAACGGCCGCGGUAUACUAACCGUGCAAAGGUAGCAUAAUAAUUUGCCCAUUAAUUGUGGGCUAGAAAUGAACGGAUAAACGAAAUAAAAACUGUCUCAUUUAGUUUCAUAAAAAUUAACCUUUAGCCGAAGAGGACUAAAUCCAGUCGAAGGACAAGAAGACCCUAUAGAGCUUUAUUACUAAAAUCAAAUAAUAUGGUUUCAAGAUUCGGUUGGGGCGACCAAGGGUACAAAAAUCACCCUAUAAAAAAAGAUAAAUUAAUCACAUGAGUGAUCCUGAAAAUCAGAUCAUAAGAACAAGCUACCUUAGGGAUAACAGGCUAAUCCUACUAAAGAGUCCCUAUCAAUAGCAGGGAUUGGCACCUCGAUGUUGGCUUAGGGUAUCUUUAUGGCGCAAAAGUCAUAAACAGAUAGUUUGUUCAACUAAUAACUCCCUACAUGAGCUGAGUUCAGACCGGCGUAAGCCAGGUUAGCUUCUAUCCUCGAUAAUAAAAUCUGUUUAUAGUACGAAAGGACCUAAACACGAAUAAUAAUUAUAAAAAAGAAUAAAUAUAAUUAAAAAUUAAACAUAGACAACAGGACACUACC